CCUACGGGAGGCUGCAGUGGGGAAUAUUGCACAAUGGGGGAAACCCUGAUGCAGCGACGCCGCGUGAGUGAAGAAGUAUUUCGGUAUGUACAGCUCUAUCAGCAGGGAAGAAACUGACGGUACCUGACCAAGAAGCCCCGGCUAACUACGUGCCAGCAGCCGCGGUAAUACGUAGGGGGCAAGCGUUAUCCGGAUUUACUGGGUGGAAAGGGCGCGUAGACGGUGAUGCAAGUCAGAAGUGCACGCCCGGGGCUCAACUCCGGGACUGCUUUUGAAACUGUGAAACUGGAGUGCAGGAGAGGUAAGCGGAAUUCCUGGUGUAGCGGUGAAAUGCGUAGAUAUCAGGAGGAACACCAGUGGCGAAGGCGGCUUACUGGACUGUAACUGACGUUGAGGCUCGAAAGCGUGGGGAGCAAACAGGAUUAGAUACCCCAGUAGUC
rnacentral:rRNA from 1 species